rnacentral:rRNA from 1 species
AACGAACGCUGGCGGCAUGCCUAACACAUGCAAGUCGAACGAGACCUUCGGUUCUAGUGGCGCACGGUUGCGUAACGCGUGGUAACCUGCCCUUAGGUUCGGAAUAACUCCCCGAAAGGGGUGCUAAUACCGGCUAAUGUCUUCGGACCAAAGAUUUAUCGCCUUUGGAUGGGCCCGCGUUGGAUUAGCUAGUUGGUAGGGUAAAAGCCUACCAAGGCGACGAUCCAUAGCUGGUCUGAGAGGAUGAUCAGCCACACUGGGACUGAGACACGGCCCAGACUCCUACGGGAGGCAGCAGUGGGGAAUAUUGGAAAAUGGGCGAAAGCCUGAUCCAGCAAUGCCGCGUGAGUGAUGAAGGCCUGAGGGUUGUAAAGCUCUUUUACCCGGGAUGAUAAUGACAGUACCGGGAGAAUAAGCACCGGCUAACUCCGUG